rnacentral:rRNA from 1 species
UGAGUAACCUGCCCUUAACUCUGGGAUAAGCCUGGGAAACUGGGUCUAAUACCGGAUAUGACUCCUCAUCGCAUGGUGGGGGGUGGAAAGCUUUAUUGUGGUUUUGGAUGGACUCGCGGCCUAUCAGCUUGUUGGUGAGGUAAUGGCUCACCAAGGCUUCGACGGGUAGCCGGCCUGAGAGGGUGACCGGCCACACUGGGACUGAGACACGGCCCAGACCUCCGUACGGGGAGCAG